rnacentral:rRNA from 1 species
UACAGAGGUCUCAAGCGUUGUUCGGAUUCAUUGGGCGUAAAGGGUGCGCAGGCGGUGGCGUAAGUCGGAUGUGAAAUCCCGGAGCUUAACUCCGGAACUGCAUUCGAUACUGCAUCACUAGAGGACUGGAGAGGAGAUUGGAAUUCACGGUGUAGCAGUGAAAUGCGUAGAUAUCGUGAGGAAGACCAGUGGCGAAGGCGAAUCUCUGGACAGUUCCUGACGCUCAUGCACGAAGGCUAGGGGAGCAAACGGG